UAUACUGCAGGUGUAUGGCGGGUAUGUGCACGUACCGGAUAUGCUUCCGCUGGUACCCGGGCGUGACAGAUUAUAGUGGUAUCAGAGCCUAGGGUUGAGUCUUAGUAGACCUAGCAAACCUUUGGCUGGUUGAACUAUAAGAAUUGGCUCGUGAGAGACGAGGUUUAGUUGAGAUUGUGGUUAGAGAAAGUACUUUGAUUGAGUAAUUUAUAAAUUCCGAAUGGUAGUAGUUUGAUCGGAAUGUGCAAUUACUAACUUUUGAAGAGGGCCACGUUGGCAGCCGACAACGUGACAUCGGAAGUUAGUAUGCGUUACAUUUCAUUACUUUCGUUUGAUUAGCUGGCUUAUAUCUGAAGUAAAGGUUCAAUAGUAUAGGUUUUAUUAAUCUAUGUUUGUUUUGUGCUGCAGCUUAAGAUGCCUUUGACUCGUUCGAGGACCGCCGAGGGAGCUGAGGCGGCUGAUGCGGAGGAAAUGGAGACCUCCGUUACUUCUGGAUCUAGUGGGAUCCAUGAGUUACAGGAUCAGCUUGCAAUGCUGACGGAUUUGGUUACUCAGCAGGCUGCGGCAGCGCGACAGCAGAUGGAUGCCGCGCGGCGACAGGAGGACAGGAUGAAGAGGUUAGAGGAUUUACUACUGCGGCAGACGACUGACAGAGAGAUUCCUGAUCCUAUACCUACAGUACCAGACAGGGAUGCGACAGUGAGAGCACAGUCAUCUGUACCCGACACACCCCCAGUAGCUCCGAGGGUAGAGCCCCGACAGGAGACAGUU
rnacentral:lncRNA from 1 species